CGUUGCAGGGGGAUAAUCGGGAGAAAUCCCGUCUAAUACCGCGUAAUGCCGCGGGGCUGCAUGGCCCUGCGGCCAAAGGAAGCGAUUCCGGCAACGGAUGGGCAUGCGUGACAUUAGCUAGUUGGCGGGGCAACGGCCCACCAAGGCGACGAUGUCUAGGGGUUCUGAGAGGAAGGUCCCCCACACUGGUACUGAGACACGGACCAGACUCCUACGGGAGGCAGCAGUGAGGAAUAUUGGUCAAUGGGCGCGAGCCUGAACCAGCCAAGUCGCGUGAGAGAUGACGGCCCUACGGGUUGUAAACCUCUUUUGUCGGGGAGCAAAUUCCGCCACGCGUGGCGGAGUCGAGAGUACCCGAAGAAAAAGCAUCGGCUAACUCCGUGCCAGCAGCCGCGGUAAUACGGAGGAUGCGAGCGUUAUCCGGAUUUAUUGGGUUUAAAGGGUGCGUAGGCGGACUGUCAAGUCAGCGGUAAAAUACGGGGGCUCAACCUCCGCCCGCCGUUGAAACUGACGGUCUUGAGUGGGCGAGAAGUAUGCGGAAUGCGUGGUGUAGCGGUGAAAUGCAUAGAUAUCACGCAGAACUCCGAUUGCGAAGGCAGCAUACCGGCGCCCAACUGACGCUGAAGCACGAAAGCGUGGGUAUCGAACAGGAUUAGAUACCCUGGUAGUCCACGCAGUAAACGAUGAAUACU
rnacentral:rRNA from 1 species